rfam:Planctomycetes bacterium GWF2_40_8 gwf2_scaffold_7742, whole genome shotgun sequence.
GAUCAAGCUACUAAGGGUACAUGGUGGAUGUCUUGGUACCAAAAGCUGAUGAAGGACGUGGAAGGCUGCGAUAAGCUUCGGUGAGCUGCCAAACAAGCUUUGAUCCGGAGAAUUCCGAAUUGGGAAACCUGUCGUAAGAAACACAUCGUGUUUCUUUUGGUUCAUACCGCGACAUUAUUACUUGAAUAAAUAGGGUAAUAAGAGGAACGAAGGGAACUGAAACAUCUAAGUACCUUCAGGAAAAGAAAGAAAAAUCGAUUUCCCCAGUAGCGGCGAGCGAAAAGGGAAGAGCCUAAACUGGCUAUAUGUAAUAACCCUUAUGUGUUAUAUAGUCAGGGUCGAGGGAGUUGCGAGGAGCAAGAUAAGGCUUGCUUAAAAAGACUGUUAUUUCUAGCUGAAUAAGCAGGAAAGCUUGACUAUAAAGGGUGAUAGUCCCGUAAGUGAAAGAAAUAAAAGUUUUUCAGUAAUUUCCCGAGUAAUGCUGGCCACGUGGAAUCCAGCAUGAAUUAAGGAGGACCAUCUCCUAAGGCUAAAUACUUUUGGUAACCGAUAGUGAACAAGUAGCGUGAGUGAACGAUGAAAAGAACCCCUUUUAGGGGAGUGAAAUAGAACCUGAAACCGUGUACUUACAAGCGGUGGGAGCACAAUAUUAAUUGAAGGAUUCAUUAAUUUAAAUCUGUUCUUUUAAUGCGUGUAACCGCGUACCUUUUGCAGAAUGAACCGGCGAGUUGCUGUCUGUUGCAGGUUAAGCCUAUAAAUGGUGAAGCCAAAGCGAAAGCGAGUGCUAAAUGCGCGAUUGAUUGUAACAGGUAGCAGACCCGAAACCGAGUGAUCUACCCUUGGUCAGGAUGAAGUUUCGGUAAAACGGAAUGGAGGUCCGAACGCAUUCACGUUGAAAAGUGAUGCGAUGAACUGAGGGGAGGAGUAAAAGUCUAAUCAAACUCGGAGAUAGCUGGUUCUCCCCGAAAUAGCUUUAGGGCUAGCCUUAUGUAACNNNNNNNNNNNGGUAGAGAUACUGAUUGAGUAUUGGGGCCCACCAGGCUACCGAACACAAUCAAACUCCGAAUACUACUGCAUUUGACAUAGGAGUCAGACUAUGGGGGAUAAGCUCCGUGGUCGAGAGGGAAACAGCCCAGAUCAUUAGUUAAGGUCCCUAAAAUGAGCUAAGUGAUAAAGGAAGUGAAAGUGCUAAGACAGCUAGGAUGUUGGCUUAGAAGCAGCAAUCAUUUAAAAAGUGCGUAAUAGCUUACUAGCCGAGUACUUUUGUGCCGAUAAUUUGCGGGACUAAAGCUCAUUACCGAAACUAUGGAUCCUAAACUUUUAGGAUGGUAGGGGAGCGUUCUAUGAUAGGUUGAAGCCUUACUAUAAAGAGGGGUGGACGAAAUAGAAGUGAGAAUGCCGGUAUAAGUAGCGAUAAUGUAAGUGAGAAUCUUAUUCGCCGAAAGCCUAAGGUUUCCUGGGGAAGGUAAAUCCGCCCAGGGUUAGCCGGUACCUAAGUCGAGGCUGAAAGGCGUAGACGAUGGACAACAGGUUAAUAUUCCUGUGCUGCUAUUUAACGUUUGAGCUUGGGGGGACGUAGACACAACGAUUAGCAAACCCAGUAGACACGGUUUGUUCAAGCUGGAGGUGCCGCUCUAGGAAAAUCCGGAGCAAUAAGGUAUCGAAAGUGAGUACGUUGGCUUUUGGCCUAGAAGUAAUCUGAGUGUCUUCCAAGAAAAGUCUCGUUAGCGAGUUAACGUGGCAACCGUACUAAAACUGACACAGGUAGGCAAGGAGAGAAUCCUAAGGCGCUCGAGAGAACCCUCGUUAAGGAAUUCGGCAUACAUACUCCGUAACUUCGGGAGAAGGAGUGCCUCUUCUAUGGAAGUUUUAAACUGAAGUGGAAAAGGUCGCAGUGAAGAAGGUCCGGGCGACUGUUUACUAAAAACACAGGUCUCUGCUAAAAUGUAUAAUUGAUGUAUAGAGACUGACGCGUGCCCGAUGCCAGAAAGUUAAGGGGAUAGGUUAUUUCCUGAGCAAUCAGGAGAGAAGCUUGGAACUGAAGCUCUGGUGAAUGGCGGCUCUAACUAUGAGAGUCCUAAGGUAGCGAAGUUCCUUGUCGGGUAAUUUCCGACGCGCAUGAAUCGCGUAACGACCUGGACACUGUCUCAACGAGGGACUCGGCGAAAUUGUAGUUGUGGUGAAGAUGCCACAUACCCGCGGAAAGACGGAAAGACCCCAUGAACCUUUACUGUAGCUUGUUAUUGGAUUUUGGCGCAGUAUGUGUAGGAUAGGUGGGAGACGAGGAAGUUUCGACGUAAGUUGGAAUGGAGUCAAUGGUGAAAUACCACCCUUACUUUGUUAAAAUUCUAAUGGAAUACCGUGAAUCCGGGUUCUUGACAGUGGUAAGUGGGCAGUUUGACUGGGGCGGUCUCCUCCAAAAAAGUAACGGAGGAGCCCAAAGGCUUCCUCAAUGCGCUUGGCAACCGCAUUUAGAGUGUAAAGGCAUAAGGGAGCUUAACUGCGAGACCCAUAAGUCGAGCAGGUGUGAAAGCAGGGCUUAGUGAUCCGGCGGUUUCUGUGUGGAAAGGCCGUCGCUCAACAGAUAAAAGGUACUCUGGGGAUAACAGGCUGAUCUCCUCCGAGCGUCCAUAGCGGCGAGGAGGUUUGGCACCUCGAUGUCGGCUCAUCGCAUCCUGGGGCUGAAGAAGGUCCCAAGGGUUUGGGAGUUCACCAAUUAAAGCGGUACGCGAGCUGGGUUUAGACCGUCGUGAGACAGGUCGGUCCCUAUCUUCCGUGGGCGUACGAUAUUUGAGAAAAUCUGCCUCUAGUACGAGAGGAUCGAGGUGGACGAACCUAUGGUGAAUCAGUUGUUGUGCUAACAGCAUGGCUGAGUAGCUAAGUUCGGAAGGGAUAAACGCUGAAAGCAUAUAAGCGUGAAGCCUGCUUUAAGAUUAGAUAUCGUUCUCUAAGCAAUUAGAGUGAAGACAUCUUAAAGACUAUGAGAUUGAUAGGCCAGGUGUGUAAGUCCGGUAACGGAUUCAGCUAACUGGUACUAAUAUGUCGAAAAGCUUGAUCAC